rnacentral:rRNA from 1 species
AACGCGAAGAACCUUACCUACCCUUGACAUCCUACGAAGGCUGGAGAGAUCUGGCUGUGCCGAAAGGAACGUAGAGACAGGUGCUGCAUGGCUGUCGUCAGCUCGUGUUGUGAGAUGUUGGGUUAAGUCCCGUAACGAGCGCAACCCUUAUCCUUAGUUGCCAACAUGUAAUGGUGGGGACUCUAAGGAGACUGCUGGUGAUGAACCGGAGGAAGGCGGGGACGACGUCAAGUCAUCAUGGCCUUUAUGGGUAGGGCUACACACGUGCUACAAUGGGUCGUACAGAGGGAAGCGAACUCGCGAGAGGGAGCGGAUCCCGCAAAGCGACUCGUAGUCCGGAUUGGAGUCUGCAACUCGACUCCGUGAAGUCGGAAUCGCUAGUAAUCGCGAAUCAGAAUGUCGCGGUGAAUACGUUCCCGGGCCUUGUACACACCGAUAGC